CUGCCACCUCCACUCCACCUGCCACCUCCACUUCAGAGAAAUAUGUUACAGAGGCUUGGGACGGCAAAAAUGUUCAUGUUCUGCUGUCCAGAAUCGGACCAUACAAGCUGUUCUAUUGGGACAUCUGUAGGACAACUCCGGGUCAGGAACUUGAGAGUGAGGUGAUCAAUGCCACCCUGUUCAGAAUGGUCCAGAAGCACAAUUGCCAAGGGGGGAAAAAGGCACUUUGCAUUGAUACAUAUGCCAUGACCCAAAUUUGGAACAGGAAGACUUCAAUUCUAAGGAAGUGUGAUCCUUCAUUAUAUGGAGUCAUUCUGGGGGUAGUGAAUGAGCCAAAUCAUUGGAUACUCACAGUCAUCUUCCCCUCAGAACAGAGGAGCCUUGUGCUGGAUCCACUCGGCAACGAUGCCUCCAAGAUCACAAGAUGUCUGGAGACCACAAGAGCAUUCAUGAGAGCGAGGGGCUGUACGGUGUCCAGGUGGAAAGCCAACACUGUGCCACAUAGCCUGCAGCAGGAUUCCACUUCAUGUGGAAUAUUUGCCAUCAAAUAUGCUGAGAAAGUCCUGGCAGAGGAGUCUCCUACUUUCCCAAACACUGAAGGGGCAGUGGUUAAUUACAGGAGGGAAAUUGCUAGCACUUCUCAAUGAGACUGAUGAUCUCAGUGAGCUGUGCCACCACUGUGGAGAGGGAGAUGAGGCGCGAGGGGGGUCUCAAGACAGACCUGAUGCCACUGACUGGAUCCAGUGUGACACCUGUGGAAGGUGGUACCACGAGGGUUGUGUUGGGAGACCUGACAGAGAUCCUAUGUACAGCUGUCCUGCAUGCCCCCAGGCUCAAAUGAGUCGAUGCCGUCCAAAACGGUCCAAAAAAAGAUAACCAUGUCACAUGAUUAUCACCCCUUCCCGUGAGGAUGGACACUGUCUUUCAGCGACCCUCACAACCCCCAC